rnacentral:rRNA from 1 species
UACGAGGGGUGCAAGCGUUGCUCGGAAUUAUUGGGCGUAAAGGGCACGUAGGUGGUCUCAUUUGUCUACAGGUGAAAGCCUUGAGCUUAACUCAAGAAGUGCCUUAGAAACGGUGAGACUCGAGUACUGGAGAGGGUCGUGGAAUUCCCGGUGUAGCGGUGAAAUGCGUAGAGAUCGGGAGGAACACCAAUGGCGAAGGCAGCCUUCUGGGCCAACACUGACGCUCAUGCACGAAAGCGUGGGGAGCAAACAGG